GCGGGCGUAGUAUAACGGCAAUACACUUGCCUUCCAAGCAAGAUACGAGGGUUCAAUUCCCUUCGCCCGCU
rnacentral:tRNA from 1 species